UACAGAGGUCUCAAGCGUUGUUCGGAUUCAUUGGGCGUAAAGGGUGCGUAGGCGGCGCGGUAAGUCGGGUGUGAAAUCUCGGGGCUUAACUCCGAAACUGCAUUCGAUACUGCCGUGCUUUGAGGACUGGAGAGGAGACUGGAAUUUACGGUGUAGCGGUGAAAUGCGUAGAUAUCGUAAGGAAGACCAGUGGCGAAGGCGGGUCUCUGGACAGUUCCUGACGCUGAGGCACGAAGGUCAGGGGAGCAAACGGG
rnacentral:rRNA from 1 species